CCUACGGGUGGCUGCAGUGGGGAAUAUUGGACAAUGGGCGAAAGCCUGAUCCAGCCAUGCCGCGUGUGUGAAGAAGGCCUUCGGGUUGUAAAGCACUUUCAGUGGGGAAGAAAGCCUUGGGGCUAAUACCCUCGAGGAAGGACAUCACCCACAGAAGAAGCACCGGCUAACUCCGUGCCAGCAGCCGCGGUAAUACGGAGGGUGCGAGCGUUAAUCGGAAUUACUGGGCGUAAAGCGCGCGUAGGCGGUCUGAUAAGCCGGUUGUGAAAGUCCCGGGCUCAACCUGGGAACGGCAUCCGGAACUGUCAGGCUAGAGUGCAGGAGAGGAAGGUAGAAUUCCCGGUGUAGCGGUGAAAUGCGUAGAGAUCGGGAGGAAUACCAGUGGCGAAGGCGGCCUUCUGGACUGACACUGACGCUGAGGUGCGAAAGCGUGGGUAGCAAACAGGAUUAGAUACCCUAGUAGUC
rnacentral:rRNA from 1 species